AUGUAUAAAUGAUAUUUAACAGCUGUAAUGUACAGAACGUUUACUGAGGAGUUAACAACAGAGGCUGAUUGCUUAUAAUUGUCAUCAUGGUAAACCUACGAGGAACAUUUUGUGCAGUAUUGUGUCUUAUGGGACUAAUAGCACAGACUAUUGGCCAGGAUCCAAACUGUCCAGAGGAGAAUGGUUAUUUCCCCGACCCGUCAAACAUGGCUGCCUUCUACCAAUGUGAUCGGGGUAUUGCCAUUUGGGUCGAGUGUGCUAACGGCACCUUGUUCGAUUCCAUCGUGGGGAACUGUAUAGCGACAGAAACCCACGUUUCAAAUCAUGGAAUCGUGUGUCCAGAACCCGAUGGCUUGUUCCAGCUGAGUGGUGACUGUUCGCGAUUUUUAGCCUGUGUAAAUAACGUGGCCUAUGUUAUGGACUGUCCUGAAGGAACUCUUUACAACCGAAUAGAACAAUGGUGUGGUGACCCUGAAAACUCAUCGUGCUGAAUAUCAACUUCCGGUAAUUGACCUUGAACUUGAUUUAAGAAAACUUACACUAAAAUAUCUCAAGAGUAAAGUCUGAAGAUGUGUUGGAUGAGAUCGAAAUUUGUAAGUUUACUGAGUGUUGUUUUAUCCAAUGAAAAGGCUGAAUUCUUAACGUAUUUUAGUAUAAGCAUUUUUGCAUAACACGCUUUCAUUUGGAUACAGAGCAAUCAGACAAUCGCCUUCGGCUGCUGCGACAUGUCGUGCAACUAACAGCAACAAUGUAGUCAUGAAAAAUUAUAUUUUAGAACAUAUGAUUCAUCGAUAAAAAAUAAAAUUUGCCAAAUCGUUA